ACGAACGCUGGCGGCGUGCUUAACACAUGCAAGUCGAACGGGGAUAGCGACGGAAGUCCUCGGGAUGGAAGGUGCUAUCGAGUGGCGGACGGGUGAGUAACGCGUGAGCAACCUGUCCCAGACAGGGGGAUAACACUUGGAAACAGGUGCUAAUACCGCAUAAGACCACAGUGCCACAUGGCACAGGGGUAAAAAGGAGAAAUCCGGUUUGGGGUGGGCUCGCGUCCGAUUAGCCAGUUGGCGGGGUAACGGCCCACCAAAGCGACGAUCGGUAGCCGAUCUGAGAGGAUGACCGGCCACAUUGGAACUGAGAGACGGUCCAAACUCCUACGGGAGGCAGCAGUGGGGAAUAUUGGGCAAUGGGCGAAAGCCUGACCCAGCAACGCCGCGUGAGUGAAGAAGGCCUUCGGGUUGUAAAGCUCUGUUAUAGGGGACGAAGGAAGUGACGGUACCCUAUAAGGAAGCCCCGGCUAACUACGUGCCAGCAGCAGC
rnacentral:rRNA from 1 species